GAUGAAGAACGCAGCGAAAUGCGAUAAGUAAUGUGAAUUGCAGAAUUCAGUGAAUCAUCGAAUCUUUGAACGCACCUUGCGCCCUUUGGACAUUCCGAAGGGCAUGCCUGUUUGAGUAUCAUGAACACCUCAACUCUCACGGCUUGUCCGUGAUGAGCUUGGACUUUGUGGGUCUUGCCGGCCUGUGGUCGGCUCCUCUCAAAUGGAUCAGCUUGCCAGUGUUUGGUGGCAUCACAGGUGUGAUAACUAUCUGCGCUUGUGGUUUUCCAUCAGAUAACCUUCAGUGAUAUGGAGGUUCGCUGGAGCUCACAAAUGUCUCUCCUUAGUGAGGACAGCUCUUUGAACGUUUGAUCUCAAAUCAGGUAGGACUACCCGCUGAACUUAAGCAUAUCAAUAAGCGGAGGA
rnacentral:misc_RNA from 1 species